GACGAACGCUGGCGGCGUGCUUAACACAUGCAAGUCGAACGGAAAGGCCCUGCUUUUGUGGGGUGCUCGAGUGGCGAACGGGUGAGUAACACGUGAGUAACCUGCCCUUGACUUUGGGAUAACUUCAGGAAACUGGGGCUAAUACCGGAUAGGAGCUCCUGCUGCAUGGUGGGGGUUGGAAAGUUUCGGCGGUUGGGGAUGGACUCGCGGCUUAUCAGCUUGUUGGUGGGGUAGUGGCUUACCAAGGCUUUGACGGAUAGCCGGCCUGAGAGGGUGACCGGCCACAUUGGGACUGAGAGACGGCCCAGACUCCAACGGGAGGCAGCAGUGGGGAAUAUUGCACAAUGGGCGGAAGCCUGAUGCAGCGACGCCGCGUGCGGGAUGACGGCCUUCGGGUUGUAAACCGCUGUCGCCGGAGACGAAGCGUGAGUGACGGUAAUGGGUAAAGAAGCACCGGCUAACUACGUG
rnacentral:rRNA from 1 species